UACGUAGGGGGCAAGCGUUGUCCGGAUUUAUUGGGCGUAAAGAGCGUGUAGGCGGCCAGGUAGGUCUGCUGUGAAAACUCGAGGCUUAACCUCGAGCUGUCGGCGGAAACCAUCUGGCUAGAGUCCGGAAGAGGAGAAUGGAAUUCCCGGUGUAGCGGUGAAAUGCGCAGAUAUCAGGAAGAACACCUAUGGCGAAGGCAGCUCUCUGGGACGGUACUGACGCUGAGACGCGAAAGCGUGGGGAGCGAACAGG
rnacentral:rRNA from 1 species